AGAGUUUGAUCCUGGCUCAGGAUGAACGCUGGCGGCGUGCCUAACACAUGCAAGUCGAACGGGAAUCUUCGGAUUCUAGUGGCGGACGGGUGAGUAACGCGUAAGAAUCUAACUUCAGGACGGGGACAACAGUUGGAAACGACUGCUAAUACCCGAUGUGCCGCAAGGUGAAACCUAAUUGGCCUGGAGAAGAGCUUGCGUCUGAUUAGCUAGUUGGUGGGGUAAGAGCCUACCAAGGCGACGAUCAGUAGCUGGUCUGAGAGGAUGAGCAGCCACACUGGGACUGAGACACGGCCCAGACUCCUACGGGAGGCAGCAGUGGGGAAUUUUCCGCAAUGGGCGAAAGCCUGACGGAGCAACGCCGCGUGAGGGAGGAAGGUCUUUGGAUUGUAAACCUCUUUUCUCAAGGAAGAAGUUCUGACGGUACUUGAGGAAUCAGCCUCGGCUAACUCCGUGCCAGCAGCCGCGGUAAUACGGGGGAGGCAAGCGUUAUCCGGAAUUAUUGGGCGUAAAGCGUCCGCAGGUGGUCAGCCAAGUCUGCCGUCAAAUCAGGUUGCUUAACGACCUAAAGGCGGUGGAAACUGGCAGACUAGAGAGCAGUAGGGGUAGCAGGAAUUCCCAGUGUAGCGGUGAAAUGCGUAGAGAUUGGGAAGAACAUCGGUGGCGAAAGCGUGCUACUGGGCUGUAUCUGACACUCAGGGACGAAAGCUAGGGGAGCGAAUGGGAUUAGAUACCCCAGUAGUC
rnacentral:rRNA from 1 species